CCUCUCGCGGCCCUCACGCGCCUGCGCGCGCGUAUGGGCUUCCCCGCCCGGAGCACACGCCCUUUACAUAACGGGCCCACGUGCAGCGCCCUCACGUGCCACAACAGCGCCAGCCCAGCGUUGCUAUUGGUGGGAAGGCGGAACGGCGCAAAGGACCUGUGCGACUGAGCAGCGCGAGAGUGGAGCCUCGCCCGCAGAUUCGAUGUCAAUAAGGAGCCGCCCAGCCAAUCGGGGAGCGACGCUCUGCUUGGGCGGGGGACACGUGCGUGCUCUGCACGUGAGAGACAAGGUGUGCGAUGGACGUGGUGACUGCUCUUGUGGAGUGUGCCUGAAUCAGAAUUGGCGAAGGUAGGUUGUUUAGCGAAUAACAAGUAGCAAUGCAUUCUGAGGUCCAAUGUGACAAUCUCUGUGAUUAAAUUUGUUUUCAUUUACUAUGAUCUGCAAUGGAGACGAAAAGUUGAGAAGAGAAUCUGAAAGAUUUUAUUCUGUCGACGGAGAAGGAGAGAGCCCUUCUGACGUCUAAGUUGUACAUCUGAGCUUCAAAUGCAUUGGUGUGGGGCUUUGGAAAAAAUACUGGUGGUCUGCUUUGUAACAGGACAUCAUGGACUUGUUGAGAGCAUUGCAGUUCUAUGCCCGUGAACCAGGUACCACUCCUUAAGAUGGAGUGUGCGAAACUGAGGGUGAGGAUACGUAAUCCCUGGUUGAUGCAGAUUGUUGGGAUUGUUCAGAAGCGUGAUUGGUUGAUGUAGUGCCAGCCUGUGUAUGAUGGGAAACCACGGUUGUCGGGGCCAGCAGGACGCGAUGAGGAUAAUUUUUGCUUCAUCCUUCAGAGCCUUUAUGAGGACUCUGUUGAGGAGAGGAAAUGGGUAAAGGCGUAAUGCAGGGGUGCAUUUCAAAUUAUAACAAGAGCAUUCCCCAUGUCCACCCUGGAGCAAUAACUUGGGUGUUUUUUGUUGGUUGCAGUGGCAAAUAAAUCUAUAUCUGGGAAACCCUAUUGAUUGAAUAUGUCUCUGAGGAGUGCAUAGCCGAGUUCCCAUUCGUGUUCUUGUAGCAGGGUUCUGCUGAGGGCAUCUGCCAUGGAAUUGAGGACCCCAAGAAGGUGCCAAGCAGAUAUACAACCGUAUCGGGCUAGACACCAAUUCCAAAGUGCUAUAGCUACCGAGAGUAGAGUGUGUGAAUGGGCGCUGCCUUGCCUGUUUUUAUAGAACAUGCAUGGGUGCUGUCUGUAUAUAUUUUUACAUGGAUCCCUGUGAUCUUGAGUAGCAGUUCUUGGCAUGCCAGACAAACUGCCCUGAGUUCAAGGGCAUUGAUAUGGAGCAUGCAGUCUGCCGGGGACCAUAGGCCGUGUGCUGUGCGGUCUUCUGUAUGGGCACCGCAUCCCAUAAGGAUGCGUCUGUAGUGAUAACUUCAGAGGGGUCUCAGGUUCGAAAAAGGAUGCCUACGCACAGGUUGGGUGAUUUUGUCCACCAGUGUAGGGAUGCUUUCACUGGUUGUGGCAGUGUGAGCAUUUUGGUCAUAGGAUGGACGUGUGGCUUGUAUUUGAGUCAGAAUCUCCCACUGAGAAAAGAAUGCCCAGUACUCCCAAUUUAGUUAUCUCUGUUACAAGUGUUCACAACUCCCUUGUAAGAACUGGCAUCACAAAGAC